UUUCCACAAACACAAGCUGUGCAAAGUCUUUGGAAUCGCUCUGCUCAGGUUCUUGAAUUUUCUUGAACAUUUUCUUCUGCCCAAUUUAUGGUUUUAUACAUCAAUUCAUAAAUUACCAAUCUUUUAACUUCUUGACGCCAUGAAUGCGAAUUUUCAAGAAAUUUUGGCCAGGAUCGCCAGAACAAUCCCUCCUCUCCGCAGCUCAACAAUUUCAGAGAUUUCUCCUACUCCUUCUGGUAAUUGGUCCCAAUUACUCUCCACGAUUUUUCUUGGAUUUUUACCUUCAAAAAUGUAUUUGUCAUUUAAUAAUUAUUAUUAAUUGUCUUUGAAGUGCAUUUAGAUUCAAGAGGGAUGCGAAAGAAAAAGAAAGAGAAGAAUUCAAGAGCGACAGGCUGCAAAGCAGAAACACUGCAAUGCGAGACAGACUGCACAAAACUGCAAGUCUGCAAUGCUUAUAAUUGACAACUGAAAUUACACAAAAGCCCUUAAUAACGGGUGUAACGGGUGGUUAACGGGUUUCGCAGGUUCACCCAAAAUGACCCGUUAUUUAACGGGUGCUUAACGGGUUGACCCGUUAAUCAC
rnacentral:lncRNA from 1 species